GACGAAGUUGGCCAGCCCCACACCGCAAUGCUAUAGCCCACCCGCAGCCUAUUUCCUGCACACGGAGGCCCCUCGCAAAGUCUCGCGCCAUUCCGAGUCCAGCGGACGAAGUUGGCCAGCCCCACACCCCAAUGCUAUAGCCCACCCGUUUUUGUGGACUUUUUCCGCUCGACGAACUUGGCGCUCCAGCCUUCGGGCGGUUAUUUUUGGGCGUGGCUGUGCAUGUGGCCUAUUUUUGGCACACGGAGGUGCCUCACAAAGUAUCGCGCCAAUCCGAGUCCGGCGGACGAAGUUGGUCAGCCCCACCCCCCAAGGCUAUAGCCAACCAUUUUUGUGGGCUUUUUCCGCUGGACGAACUUGGCGCCCCGGCCUUCGGGCGGUUAUUUUUGGGCGCUGCUGUGCCCGCGGCCUAUUUUUUGCAAUCGGAGACACCUCACAAAGUCUCGCGCCAUUCCGAGUCCGGCGGAUGAAGUUGGUCAGCCCCACCCCCCAAGGUUAUAGCCCACCCGUUUUUGGGGCAUAUUCCCGCUGGACGAACAUGGCGCCCCGGCCUUCGGGCGGUUAUUUUUGGGCGCGGCUGUGUCCGCGGCCUAUUUUUGGCACACAGAGGCGCCUCGCAAAGUCUCGCGCCAUUCCGAGUCCGGCGGACGAAGUUGGCCAGCCCCACCCCCCAAGGCUAUAGCCCACCCGUUUUUGUGGCCUUUUUCCGCUGGACGAACUUGGCGGCCCGGCCUUCGGGCAGUUAUUUUUGGGCGCGGCUGUGCCCGCAGUCUAUUUUCUACACACGGAGGCCCCUCGCAAAGUCUCGCGCCAUUCCGAGUCCGGCGGACGAAGUUGGCCAGCCCCACACCCCAAUGCUAUAGCCCACCCGCAGCCUAUUUCCUGCACACAGAGGCCCCUCGCAAAGUCUCGCGCCAUUCCGAGUCCAGCGGACGAAGUUGGCCAGCCCCACACCCCAAUGCUAUAGCCCACCCGUUUUUGUGGCCUUUUCCCGCUGGACGAACUUGGCGCUCCAGCCUUCGGGCGGUUAUUUUUGGGCGUGGCUGUGCAUGUGGCCUAUAUUUGGCACACGGAGGUGCCUCGCAAAGUAUCGCGCCAAUCCGAGUCCGGCGGACGAAGUUGGUCAGCCCCGCCCCCCAAGGCUAUAGCCAACCGUUUUUGUGCGCUUUUUCCGCUGGACGAACUUGGCGCCCCGGCCUUCGGGCGGUUAUUUUUGGUCGCUGCUGUGCCCGCGGCCUAUUUUUUGCAAUCGGAGGCACCUCGCAAAGUCUCGCACCAUUCCGAGUCCGGCGGAUGAAGUUGGCCAGCCCCACCCCCCAAGGUUAUAGCCCACCCGUUUUUGGGGCAUUUUCCCGCUGGACGAACAUGGCGCCCCGGCCUUCGGGCGGUUAUUUUUGGGCGCGGCUGUGUCCGCGGCCUAUUUUUGGCACACAGAGGCGCCUCACAAAGUCUCGCACCAUUCCGAGUCCGGCGGAUGAAGUUGGCCAGCCCCACCCCCCAAGGCUAUAGCCCACCCGUUUUUGUGGCCUUUUUCCGCUGGACGAACUUGGCGCCCCGGCCUUCCGGCCGUUAUUUUUGGCCACGGCUGUGGCCACGGCCUAUUUUUGGCACACGGAGGCACCUCGCAAAGUCUCGCGCCAUUCCGAGUCCGGCGGACGAAGUUCGCCAGCCCCACCCCCCAAUGCUAUAGCCCACCCGUUUUUGUGGCCUUUUUCCGCUGGACGAACUUGGCGCCCCGGCCUUCGGGCGGUGAUUUUUGGGUGCGGCUGUGCCCGCAGCCUAUUUUUGGCACACGGAGGCACCUCGCAAAGUCUCGCGCCAUUCCGAGUCCGGCGGACGAAGUUCGCCAGCCCCACCCCCCAAUGCUAUAGCCCAACCGUUUUUGUGGCCUUUUUCCGCUGCACGAAUUUGGCGCCCCGGCCUUCGGGCGGUUAUUUUUGGGUGCGGCUGUGCCCGUAGCCUAUUUUUGGCACACGGAGGCACCUCGCAAAGUCUCGCGGCAUUCCGAGUCCGGCGGACGAAGUUGGCCAGUCCCACCCCCCAAGGCUAUAGCCCACCCGUUUUUGUGGCCUUUUUCCGCUGGACGAACUUGGCGCCCCGGCCUUCGGGCAGUUAUUUUUGGCCACGGCUGUGCCCGCGGCCUAUUUUUGGUACACGGAGGCACCUCACAAAGUCUCGCGCCAUUCCGAGUCCGGCGGACGAAGUUCGCCCGCCCCACCCCCCAAUGCUAUAGCCCACCCGUUUUUGUGGCUUUUUUCCGCUGGACGAACUUGGCGCCCCGGCCUUCGGCCGGUGAUUUUUGGGUGCGGCUGUGCCCGCAGCCUAUUUUUGGCACACGGAGGCUCCUCGCAAAGUCUCGCGCCAUUCCGAGUCCGGCGGACGAAGUUCGCCUGCCCCACCCCCCAAUGCUAUAGCCCAACCGUUUUUGUGGCCUUUUUCCGCUGCACGAACUUGGUGUCCCGGCCAUCGGGCGGUUAUUUUUGGGUGCGGCUGUGCCCGUAGCCUAUUUUUGGCACACGGAGGCACCUCGCAAAGUCUCGCGGCAUUCCGAGUCCGGCGGACGAAGUUGGCCAGCCCCACACCCCAAUGCUAUAGCCCACCCGCAGCCUAGUUCCUGCACACGGAGGCCCCUCGCAAAGUCUCGCGCCAUUCCGAGUCCAGCGGACGAAGUUGGCCAGCCCCACACCCCAAUGCUAUAGCCCACCCGUUUUUGUGGCCUUUUUCCGCUGGACGAACUUGGCGCUCCAGCCUUCGGGCGGUUAUUUUUGGGCGUGGCUGUGCAUGUGGCCUAUUUUUGGCACACGGAGGUGCCUCGCAAAGUAUCGCGCCAAUCCGAGUCCGGCGGACGAAGUUGGUCAGCCCCACCCCCCAAGGCUAUAGCCAACCGUUUUUGUGGGCUUUUUCGGCUGGACGAACUUGGCGCCCCGGCCUUCGGGCGGUUAUUUUUGGGCGCUGCUGUGUCCGCGGCCUAUUUUUUGCAAUCGGAGGCACCUCGCAAAGUCUCGCGCCAUUCCGAGUCCGGCGGAUGAGGUUGGCCAGCCCCACCCCCCAAGGUUAUAGCCCACCCGUUUUUGGGGCAUUUUCCCGCUGGACGAACAUGGCGCCCCGGCCUUCGGGUGGUUAUUUUUGGGAGCGGCUGUGUCCGCGGCCUAUUUUUGACACACAGAGGCGCCUCGCAAAGUCUCGCGCCAUUCCGAGUCCGGCGGACGAAGUUGGCCAGCCCCACCCCCCAAGGCUAUAGCCCACCCGUUUUUGUGGCCUUUUUCCGCUGGACGAACGUGGCGUCCCGGCCUUCAGGCGGUUAUUUUUAGGCGCGGCUGUGCCCACAACCUAUUUUUGGCACACGGAGGCACCUCCCAAAGUCUCGCGCCAUUCCGAGUCCGGCGGACGAAGUCGGCCAGCCCCACCCCCCAAGGCUAUAGCCCACCCGUUUUUGUGGCCUUUUUCCGCUGCACGAACUUGGCGCCCCGGCCUUCGGACCGUUAUUUUUGGCCACGGCUGUGGCCGCGGCCUAUUUUUGUCACACGGAGGCACCUCGCAAAGUCUCGCGCCAUUCCGAGUCCGGCGGACGAAAUUCGCCAGCCCCACCCCCCAAUGCUUUAGCCCACCCGUUUUUGUGGCCUUUUUCCGCUGCACGAACUUCGCGCCCCGGCCUUCGGGCCGUUAUUUUUGGCCACGGCUGUGCCCGCGGCCUAUUUUUGGCACACGGAGGCACCUCGCAAAGUCUCGCGCCAUUCCGAGUCCGGCGGACGAAGUUCGCCAGCCCCACACCCGAAUGCUAUAGCCCACCCGUUUUUGUGGCCUUUUUCCGCUGGACGAACUUGGCGCCCCGGCCUUCGGGUGGUGAUUUUUGGGUACGGCUGUGCCCGCAGCCUAUUUUUGGCACACGGAGGCACCUCGCAAAGUCUCGUGCCAUUACGAGUCCGGCGGACGAAGUUCGCCAGCCCCACCCCCCAAUGCUAUAGCCCAACCGUUUUUGUGGCCUUUUUCCGCUGGACGAACUUGGCGCCCCGGCCUUCUGGCGGUUAUUUUUGGGCGCGGCUGUGCCCGCGGCCUAUUUUUGGCACACGGAGGCGCCUCGCAAAGUCUCGCACCAUUCCGAGUCCGGCGGACGAAGUUGGCCAGCCCCACCCCCCAAGGCUAUAGCCCACCCGUUUUUGUGG
rnacentral:lncRNA from 1 species